UUGACUUUUAGAAUCGGAAGUCAUCUCUCCAUGAGUCCAUCACCCACCCCAAUCGGUUCUCUCCCUCAACCUCCAUCGAUCGUCUUUCCUUAUUCGAUCGAUUCCGAUCCCCCAUACCUAACAGAUGGUCAUCUCUACCCAUCGAUUUCUACCAGCAUACGACUGAUAAAUCGCGGCUGAGUGACCGACGAACAACCACUGCACCAGCAGACGACCCAUCAUAACCGAUCGAUAGGAUCAUUUUUUCGCGACUCCUCGUUUCAGUUCUCACUUUAGCCCUGAGCAGUGUAAGGAACAAAUAGAGAACGCAGAGGAGAAAAAAUGCAUCCAAAGAAAACGAUGAAAAGAAGAAAAAGGAAGCCAAAGAAGCAAAGUCAAAGGAACAAAAAGUGAAAGAGAAGUUGUAGGAAGUAAAUCUGUUUAUGGCGCAGGGGCUCAUGAUCACUCAUCUUUGGAUGAGAUAGGAUCUAAACAAAGCCCCUACUAAUAUUGAGGUUGUAGUGGUCCACAGAUGAUGACACAGAUGCAUCUAUUGACAACAUGGAAGAGGAGGGUAGAUAUCAUGGAUGGGAAUGCGGCUACAGGUUCUCCAACAUAUGUUUGACUUUGUCAAUUUGUAUCAAAACCAGUUUCCCGAGAAAAUGUGGCACGACACGAGAGAGGCUACGGAUAAUGAAAUAGAUGUUUUGUUGAUGACGUUGAUGCCGAAGUUUUUUAGCGAGUUAGGUAUUUCGCUAGAUUAGCGUAUGUAGUUUAUUUAUACAAUUUAACGUAGUUUGUUAUGCGUUCACAAAUGAUUGUAGUUUGACGGGUUUAUCUCCGAAUUGGAUGUCUACGGGUUUAUUUUCGAUUUGAAUAUGUAUUGUUUUGGUUUGA